rnacentral:rRNA from 1 species
AUGAGAACCAAUCCUACUACUUCUCCUCCCGAGGUUUCCACAAUUGAAGAAAAAAGUACAGGUCGCAUCGAUCAAAUUAUUGGACCCAUGCUGGAUGUCACUUUUCCCCCAGAUAAGUUACCUUAUAUUUAUAACGCUUUGGUAGUCCAGAGUAGAGACAUUGCUGAUAAGAAAAUUAAUGUGACUUGUGAGGUACAACUAUUAUUAGGAAAUAAUCGAGUUAGAGCUGUAGCUAUGAGUGCUACGAACGAGUUGAUGAGAGGAAUGGAAGUGAUUGACAUGGGAGCUCCUCUCAGUGUUCCGGUCGGUGGAGCUACGCUCGGACGAAUUUUCAAUGUUCUUGGGGAGCCUGUUGACAAUUUGGGUCCUAUAGAUAGUAGUGCAAUGUUCCCUAUUCAUAGAUCUGCGCCUGCCUUUAUCGAGUUAGAUAUGAAAUUAUCCAUCUUUGAAACAGGUAUUAAGGUCGUCGAUCUUUUAGCUCCUUAUCGACGUGGAGGAAAAAUAGGACUAUUUGGGGGGGGGCUGGAGUAG